ACCAGACUCCUACGGGAGGCAGCAGUGGGGAAUAUUGGACAAUGGGGGGAACCCUGAUCCAGCGACGCCGCGUGGGUGAAGAAGCGCCUCGGCGCGUAAAGCCCUCUCGGCAGGGAAGAAGGAGGACGGUACCUGACUAAGAAGCCCCGGCUAACUACGUGCCAGCAGCCGCGGUAAUACGUAGGGGGCAAGCGUUAUCCGGAUUUACUGGGUGUAAAGGGGGCGCAGACGGCAGCGCAAGCCAGGAGUGAAAGCCCGGGGCCCAACCCCGGGACUGCUCUUGGAACUGCGCGGCUGGAGUGCAGGAGGGGCAGGCGGAAUUCCUGGUGUAGCGGUGAGAUGCGUAGAUAUCAGGAGGAACACCGGUGACGAAGGCGGCCUGCUGGACUGCGACUGACGUUGAGGCCCGAAAGCGUGGGGAGCAAACAGGAUUAGAUACCCCCGUA
rnacentral:rRNA from 1 species